GCCCAAGUCAAUCCUUUUAACGGCGUAAUUCACCGUGAAAUUCUGAAACACCGGCGCCGCGUGCGUGAAACUGAACCCACAGUCAACCACAAGACUACACUGCGUCUCCGACAACAGCCCGUACGGUCGCCGGCUGGCCUCGUAGAGGUGAACUAACGACGGCGGGUCGGCAACGAAGAGCGACUUGAAGUUGAAGUCCUCGAAGACGAGCUCGUCGGUGGCGCGUUGGAUAGAGGGAAGCGCGAAGAGGGGUUCGGUGAGUAGGAGAGAGGAGGCGGAGGGGCUGAUGUGGAGGAGAGAGGAGAAGAGGUGGGCCCAGAUGUCGCGCUGGAGGUCGCUAUUUAUAAGGUAACCGCGGUCAAUGGGGCGGCGGACGGCGGCAGAGGUCAGGUCUUCGGUGGCGGAGGCGGCGGUGGGAGAUGGGUGGAUGAAUUUUUUGGAGGAGAGUGGACGGUACAUGCAGUUGGGUAUUGUGACGGCGGGGUCACGCUCGCCGCCAUGACCCGCUUUUAUGAGGCCGCCACCAUUGUCUAGAACGACGAUAUUUGACAUCUCCGAGGAUGAGAUGUGGGUGCUGGAAUUGUUACAUUUGAGUGAAGUGGUUGACGAGCAGGUGCUGGGGUUUUAAGGGUUUAUUGGAGAAUUCUUUUUCUAACUUUCGGUUAUCAGUGAAUAUUUAGAAAUAUGAGAAUUUAUUAAUCAUCUGCCCAGAGUUAUGCCAAUUAUUAGAAAUACACCCUUUCAAAAAAAAAAUAUUAUUAAAAAUACACAAAUAUUUAAGUUUUUCACCAUAAAUUUGUAUCAAUUUUAACGAAUAUUUAUAACAUGUUGUUUAUAUCUACUCCGGAGUAAAUAUUUAACCACGCGCGGUUAAUCGUAUCAUCAUACAAAUGAUAAUGUCCGAAAACUUUAUGGAAUCUAUACAAUAUGUUGUUUUUUAUGACACUUACUAUUAUAAACACUGAUUAAAUUAUUUUAAAGAAAUUAAUCUAAGAUUAUUUAUUUAUUAUUGUAAGUAUUAAUAAAUUAAUAUAAUAAAUGAAUAUGUUUUCAUCAUAUUUUUAUUAGGAUCCAAUUUGAACAAAUUGAUUGCUCUCACCAAAUCUAUCUUUAAUCAAUUAAAAUAAGUAGAUUUAUAUUGGGGAAAAGAUAGGGUUAAUAAGGAUUUAAAUGUGCUUUUCUUAUGUUUGAAGGCAAGUGGCGUAGUUGAGGUGCACUAGGCGGUGGGUAAUAACAUGAAGAACUCAAUGAGCUUGGGAGAUAGCUCAGAUGAACUCAAAUAUGAGAUAAGACAUAAGCAUCAACGUCAUCACAAUAAACUGAAAAUAAACACACACACACACACACAAAAUUGAAAUUUGUGUGAUUCACCCCUUCAUCUUAUAUCCACGAGAGUAAUUCAUCUCUAAUCUACUAUGUAUUUAAAGUAUUAAAUGAUUUUCAUUACAAUAUGAACAAAAUCUCAUUAAAUGUCGUUUAUGGUGUUUAACAACAUAUAGGAGAACAAGAAUAAGAACAUGUGGUAAACAAGAUCUUUUAUAGAACUAUAAAAUAAAGGAAGAAACCUUAAAAUUGAAGGGAAAAUAGAAUGAAGUAGCCUUAUACCCAUUAUAUGCAUCAUAAUCAUCUACAGAUUUCACUUAAAUAAACACGUAACGGCAAGAUAGAGUUAUUCUGCCAAUACCCAUCUUAAUUUUGUUGCUAUAACAAGACCGGGUAAACAAAAACAGAGGAAACUACAAUCACCUCUUUGUUGCCCUCCAAGUUAAUCACUCAGCUGAACACUUUAUUUUUCGAAGGGGUAAAUAAACAACAAUAAUUUAUUUUUAUUUUUUAAAAAAAAGAACCUGGCAAUUUGAAGAUCACGCGCGACAUCGAGGGAGACAAAGCACAACUUCUCCUUAACAUCAUCGAUAAUGAAAGUCUCAUCCAUAACGUUAAUAGCGCGAUACGAUACCAGCUCCUUCAAGUAAUUAGUCAACGCCUUACCGCCCAAGUCAAUCCUUUUAACGGCGUAAUUCACCGUGAAAUUCUGAAACACCGGCGCCGCGUGCGUGAAACUGAACCCACAGUCAACCACAAGACUACACUGCGUCUCCGACAACAGCCCGUACGGUCGCCGGCUGGCCUCGUAGAGGUGAACUAACGACGGCGGGUCGGCAACGAAGAGCGACUUGAAGUUGAAGUCCUCGAAGACGAGCUCGUCGGUGGCGCGUUGGAUAGAGGGAAGCGCGAAGAGGGGUUCGGUGAGUAGGAGAGAGGAGGCGGAGGGGCUGAUGUGGAGGAGAGAGGAGAAGAGGUGGGCCCAGAUGUCGCGCUGGAGGUCGCUAUUUAUAAGGUAACCGCGGUCAAUGGGGCGGCGGACGGCGGCAGAGGUCAGGUCUUCGGUGGCGGAGGCGGCGGUGGGAGAUGGGUGGAUGAAUUUUUUGGAGGAGAGUGGACGGUACAUGCAGUUGGGUAUUGUGACGGCGGGGUCACGCUCGCCGCCAUGACCCGCUUUUAUGAGGCCGCCACCAUUGUCUAGAACGACGAUAUUUGACAUCUCCGAGGAUGAGAUGUGGGUGCUGGAAUUGUUACAUUUGAGUGAAGUGGUUGACGAGCAGGUGCUGGGGUUUUAAGGGUUUAUUGGAGAAUUCUUUUUCUAACUUUCGGUUAUCAGUGAAUAUUUAGAAAUAUGAGAAUUUAUUAAUCAUCUGCCCAGAGUUAUGCCAAUUAUUAGAAAUACACCCUUUCAAAAAAAAAAUAUUAUUAAAAAUACACAAAUAUUUAAGUUUUUCACCAUAAAUUUGUAUCAAUUUUAACGAAUAUUUAUAACAUGUUGUUUAUAUCUACUCCGGAGUAAAUAUUUAACCACGCGCGGUUAAUCGUAUCAUCAUACAAAUGAUAAUGUCCGAAAACUUUAUGGAAUCUAUACAAUAUGUUGUUUUUUAUGACACUUACUAUUAUAAACACUGAUUAAAUUAUUUUAAAGAAAUUAAUCUAAGAUUAUUUAUUUAUUAUUGUAAGUAUUAAUAAAUUAAUAUAAUAAAUGAAUAUGUUUUCAUCAUAUUUUUAUUAGGAUCCAAUUUGAACAAAUUGAUUGCUCUCACCAAAUCUAUCUUUAAUCAAUUAAAAUAAGUAGAUUUAUAUUGGGGAAAAGAUAGGGUUAAUAAGGAUUUAAAUGUGCUUUUCUUAUGUUUGAAGGCAAGUGGCGUAGUUGAGGUGCACUAGGCGGUGGGUAAUAACAUGAAGAACUCAAUGAGCUUGGGAGAUAGCUCAGAUGAACUCAAAUAUGAGAUAAGACAUAAGCAUCAACGUCAUCACAAUAAACUGAAAAUAAACACACACACACACACAAAAUUGAAAUUUGUGUGAUUCACCCCUUCAUCUUAUAUCCACGAGAGUAAUUCAUCUCUAAUCUACUAUGUAUUUAAAGUAUUAAAUGAUUUUCAUUACAAUAUGAACAAAAUCUCAUUAAAUGUCGUUUAUGGUGUUUAACAACAUAUAGGAGAACAAGAAUAAGAACAUGUGGUAAACAAGAUCUUUUAUAGAACUAUAAAAUAAAGGAAGAAACCUUAAAAUUGAAGGGAAAAUAGAAUGAAGUAGCCCAAAAUGUCUACAAAGAGGAUGAGAUCUCAAAAAAAAAAAAAUUCCAAAAGAUCUGAUUCCAAAUUUGAAACAUGUGGUGCUUAUAUAUGAGUGUGCCUAAGGUAUAUGGGUAAUUUUGGACAGUUGGCAUGUUCUAGCUGGUUUGUUCUCCUCAAGUGUGGUUAUUUUCGUCUUUUUCUUUUACUAACUUGAUAGUGAUCCAAAUAAGCUUGGCGAACAAAUAACCACUAUAGCCCUCAUGUAGUUCCAUAUUCUUUGCCAUGUGGUAGAUGCCGGUGCAGACUGCAGAGGCCUUCCUACUAGAGGAUAGUUGAGAAGUACUGAGUGUCAUUUUCUCAUUACUAUUUGCUUUUAGCCGAAAGGAUAAAAUUUAUCUCUUUUUUUUAGAUGAUUAUUUGAACCCACUAAUCUAUUUAUAAGACCCACAUUUGAAAGUAAUUUAUAAUGAUUAAAAUACCCUUAGAUCAAAUUACAAACACUGAAAUAUAAGAUUUUUACUAUUAAACCCAUCUUUAUAUCUAAUGUUGUAUUUUUUAUUCUUUAUUUUUUAUUAAUCUUGAAACAUAUAUAUAAGUAUCUAUGUCAGCAAGCCCCUAGUGAAUUGGCUCCCCUAAUCUGAUUUCAUCGUGUAGCUGCAUAUCGUGAUUAAAUGCAUAGUCUUAUAUUUUAAGCAACUAAUGCUUUAAUAUAAUCAGUCUUAGUAUUAAAAAGAGUUGCAAUUUGUUUUACUUUUUUUAUAAUUAAAUAAAACUAAUUUUCUUCAUGACGAGAAAUAGUAAAGUAUUUAAAUAAUUUUUAUUUUAUUUUUUACACAAUUGGUUCUUUUGCGUUCUUGUCUAGUAAAAUUCGAGCAUUUCAUUUUUAAAACUAUAAAAAAAUUAAUAAUUUAUCGAAUUAUUUUUUGAAUGAAUCAAAAAAUCAUAGACAACUACAAAAAAUUUAGUUUUUUUAUGGAUUGGAUUAUAUUAACAAAAUAUUUGAAUUCAUUAUUUUGAGCACAUAUAAAUUUAUAGUGAAAACAUUAUUGAUAUACAAAUUGAGUUUAGUAAUGAUAUAUUAGGUAUUUAGGUGGGUUUGUUGAGUAAAAUUUAAAAUUUUGAAAUUUAAUAAUAGGGUUAUUUAGUAAUUGGGUUUAGUGAGUAGUUUUAUGGGUUCAAAUAGCCUCACCCCUUUUUUCAUGACACGUACUCUACACAUUUAGGGCUCCAACUGUCAUAUUUGAAUUAUAACUUGACCUUCAAAGUAGAAGAUUUUUACUAGAGUUGUCCUUUCCUUUGAAGGUGCACCUCUAACUUGGAUGAGGAUCCUCUCUUGAUCUGAUCUUCAUCUGAGUAAAUUCUGUUAAUAUGAUUAGUAGUUAAUAAAUUAAAAAAAAAAUAGUUAAAUCUUAAUCAUUUAUUGACAUUAAAACACAAGUGGCAUAAGAUUUGUAGAAGAUCAAGAGUGCUCAAAUCAGAAGAGGAUCUUGAUUCCUCUAACUUGUCUUAAGCUAUCUUCCCCUCUAGAUAUAUUGGUAACUUUUUUUUCACCUUAUAUUAUUUACUGUCACAUGUUACUUAUCCAUUAGUCCUAAUCAAUAUCCCAAAUUAACACCCAAAAUUGUACGUAUUUUAUUAUUUGGCCCACCUACAACCCAAUUCCCUUUUUAUCCAUGUGAGCAGGGUUUAAACCCCAAACUUCUUAUUUUCAUAUAAAAGAUUUUACUAUCUCAGUUAGAGAUUUAGAUUAAGUGCUAAAUUAACCUUUUUGCUAACCUUUUAGAUGUAUACAAUUGUUAAUUGUUGGAUAAAAAUAUAAAAGUAAUUAAAUCUUAAUUGUAUAUUGCUAUACAUGCACACGUGGUAGAAGAUUAUGAAAAGUUAAGCAUAGAUUAGGUUAACAGUGAAUCCAAAUCACUCAACUAGAUGACAUCCACAUUAAUAUAAAUAUAUGGAAUGUUCUUUUUGAAAAAUAUAUAUAUACAGGUAAUGUAACAAAAUUUAAAUUAGUUAUAGAAUAUUUUAAACUGUUUUAUGUAUAAUAAUAAAUUAGUGACUAUUAUAUCAUUGAAUUAAAUAUUAAUUGAAUUAAUUAUUAUUCAUUUAUUUAAAUUAAAAAUUAAAAAUUAAAAAUUAAAAAGUUAAUAAUUUUUAUGUCAUCAAUUAAAUAUAAAUAUUAUUAUUUAGUACCUACAUUAUUAGCUAAAUAAUAAAAAUAACUAAUAUCCAAAUUUUAAUUUAACUAAUAUCAUAACUUUCUUUUAUAAAUCUAAAAAUAUAUUAAACCUAAUAAAAGAAGAGGUACAAGAAAAAUAAUAUUGUAAUUAUAAUAUGUCAUUCAGUAAAUGAUUAAUAAUUUUUUAUUUCAUUACAGUGUAUAAUUACAUUAUCUCAUCAUUCAUUUGAUGAAUGCUCUAGCACUACCCUUUUGAUUAAUCGAAAAUUUAAUAAAAGUUAUUUUAAAGAUAAGGGUUUCUGUGAAUUAAUAUUUUUUCUUCUCUAUCUUAAUAAGGUCUGGGUUUAGGAUAAUCCAAUCCCAAGGCCAAAAUCAGCUGUAUAAAUUAUUGGAGACCAACGAACCAGUAUCCCGUUGUUUUCAUGAUGAACCGAUCGAUUAGCUUCAGGUUUUGCUGAAUAUUUUAAAAAAUAAACUAAAACUGACAAACAAGAAACAAGAGGUUGGACGAGUCACUCAGAACAUAUUUGAGGACCUGCUUACCUCAGCUAAAUGGAUAAAUUUGUUGUUUAUUUGUUUCAUGGAAUUCUGCAGUCCUUCCUCAGCCUACCAGGACAAUUUGACCUUUUCAAACAAUCUUAAAAAAUUCAGAAAGGUCUCAAUAAGAUUUGUCAUCGACAAGUGACUUAAAUAAACACUUCUCAAUCCACGAUGAAGGUAGCUGGGAAAAUUUGUUUCAUUACUGUGUAUAAAUAUUAUAAAACAUAGAAAAUUGUAAAUAGACGCUCAUCAUAUACUGUAUUUCUGUCCUUACCCUGCAUGGUUGAACUGCAUGCUAUACAUGUAAAAAGAAAAUGCAAGAACAAAAACAUUACAAGAUAAAGAAAAUCUUCCAAAAGGGAAGGAAUGUACUAACGUGCAUCAUAUGAAGCACCACCCCUUUCAAUACGGUGAGUAGUAAUAUCCUCCAGGUCCGGGCUGCCCCAUGCCAGUGACCUGCGGCAUCCCGUAAGGCAUCAUUGAUUGAGGGUUAGGCCCGUAGUAACCAGAGCCACCAGCAAUCUUGGCCAGUGCCACCUGGCCUUGCAUCCCAUCCCUUCCAUACUGCUGCCAAAGCUGCUGUUCCUGCACAAGAAACUGCUGCUUCCUCUCCAUUUCUGCCAUCUGCACGUACGAAGGAGGUGGCACAGUAAGCGAUGCAGCAAAUGGGUCAUUAUUCCCCACCGUCUGGACCGUCCCAUCUGGUGCUGGGAGUGCUAGCACUGGCGUAGCACUUUUGCCAGGCCCGGGUAAUGUCACACUGCUUGCACUCCCACCACUCAGUUGAGUGGUGCUGACAUGCUGCCUUACUGCUCCUUGAUCAUACAUGCCAUUUAACACCAACGAAUCAAAACCACCCGCAUAUGCAGCUUUCUGCUUUGAUAGAUUACCGGCUGUUUCCACUAAAGCUGAUUCCCAAUCUGCCCUACCACUUUCAGCAGCCGGAGUUUGCCAUGCAGAAGUAACCUCAGGCUGUCCAUUUGAUGGGAAUGCUUCCCAUGAACCAUUUGUAUUCGUAGGUGGCCCAGAGAACAAAGCCAAUGCCAGUUUGUUCCCUUGUUCAUCAGCUGAUGUAGCAUCAUCCUUCAAGUUCACCAAAUCAUCAGUCACCUGCUGAGGUUGUGGCUUAGGUGGUUGUUGAGGCUUAGGUGGUGGUGGUGGUGGAGGAGAGGAAUUCUCUGGUGCAGGAAGAGCCUUGACCUCAUUCAUAUCAGGCUCUGGUUCUUGCUUAGGAGGAAGUUUCUCCUCCCUAAUUCUUUCAGGAUUCUUUGGCCUGUUUGCCAUUUCCUUCAAAAAGCCAUCAAGUGUCCCCAAAAGCUUAUCAGUUAUCCUCUGCACUUCAGGGAACUCAGAUGAUCUUGCAAUCCCGAUAUCCUUACACCAACCAUAGAAACCCACAAGCUCAUCAAUCAUCUUUGCUGCACUAACAUAAGCUUCGAAACCCCUAACGCAGUCGGCAUACUCCAUCUCUGUAAAUUUAUCCAACAAUACCCCCAAAGCCUCACAUAUGUCAACAUAUAGCCCAAAACUAUCCUUCACAACCAAAUAAAGGGCAACAAGAACCAACCUAGAAUUCUUAGCUGCACCUGUUGGCCUACAAGCCAAAACCUUAUCGAGAAUCCUCAGCAACUGAUUCAACCUCGCUAAAACCCUCUCUGGCCUCAUUUCCCUCAUGGGAGUCGCCUCUCUUCUCUCCUCCCUCCUCACUGAUUCACUCACGUCACCAUAAGACUGCGAUCUCAACUCCAUCCCACGAUCAAAAUCAUCCCUAAACCUAUCCUCUCUCUCCUCAACUUUCCCCUCCCCACCUCUCAUUUUCUUCUCAUAAACCACAAACUCCACCUUCUCAUCCAAAUACAUAGCGUAAAACCUCACAAACCCACCAUGAUCCCACGAAUUAGAAUGCGCCUCAUCUCUAAAAUCAGACAUGUUCAAAAGCCGCAUCCCUCUCCUCGUGGAAUACACAAUCUCAUCCUCAAACAACAAAUGCCCGUCCAACAAAAGCUUAUGCACAAGCAUCAAAGCCUUCACCGCGACAAUCCAAUCAUGGGUUUUGCUCAACCGUUUGGAUAUGGUGGCAAUACAUGCACUGACAUACCCUCUUGAAUAAGACAUCAAACUAACUAUUUCCCUAACAUAUUUGUCAUCAGCCGGCUCAUCAUCAUGACUGGUCGCCUUAACAACCAAUACUUCAAGGUCCGGUGCAAUAUUACCAGCCACUUUAGCCAAGCUGAUACUCGUUUGAUCUUUCACAGCACCGAUCGCUUUACGGAUAGUGCUAGGUGCCAUUGUUCUAUCUCAGAAAUGACUAUAAUUAAAGAGUUUCUAUUAAAAAUGAAGGAUAAUUAAUACAAAAUUGUUACCUUAUUUCUUUUUUUUUUUAUCCUGUUCUUUCCUGGGAAGUUUUGGUGGGUGGUGGUAGAUCUGAUUGAGAAAUGGAAGCUCUUUUUGACUUGGGUCAGUGGAGUGGACGGCGGAGAUUGGAAGAGUUCACCGAUCGUGAGUAACGGAUCUAAGACUACAUGCACUGUAGCAAAUUAGCAGAUGCUCCCUUUCUUUACUUUCUGUCUGUUUGGGUGUGCUUCCCCUGUGUUUGUUUCUACAUGUAAGGAGCGUUGGAGAAGCGGGGAAAAAGAGGAUUUUUGCUAAAAGCCGCGUAACAGGCGGAGGGGGAGUCCAUUUUGGCAACGAAACGUUGUCGUUUUCAUGCGUUGUUGGAAGGCACACGCAAGGCGUAAUCGUGGAGAAUCAUUAUUAGCAUCUCGAAGUGGGUAUUUUUUAUAUUUUCCCCACGCUUUGUAUCAUGGCACCCUAUUUGUAAACGUACCCGUGGAAACUUUAAAAUUUAUGUUAUUUAGUAAAAGAUCCCAUUUUAAUACCAAACAUACCACUGACUGUACUUCUAAUUUUAAUAUUACGUUAAAUAAUAUAUAAUGUAAAUAUAAUUCAAUAUAUGUCUAUCUCAAAGAUGAGACAAGGAAUUCCCACACCAAGUUAACCAUCGAGUUGUGGGCAUUUAUAUAUAUUAUUUUAGAAUAUGAAUGAAAAUUAUCUUUUAAUUUUGAUUGUUUUGUCUAUAAGUACAUAUUAAAUUUUAUAAUUUAGAUAUCAAUAAAAGUAUAUCUUUAAAAAUAAAUUAGUAUUAUCUUCAUUAUGGUAAUGGUCGUAUAUUGAUUUUCUAAUUUUUAAAUUAUCGUUGAAUGAAUCAAUUUCAAUUUAAGAAAUAUAAAUUAUUUGUGCCAUUAGAGAGGGGUUAAAUAUCACCACCAUAUUUUAAAAUAUCCUCACGGAAUCAGAAAAGGAUAUUCUUUUACUCUCACCGAAAACAUCCCUUUAAUUGACACCUUCAGUUAAUACUUAAUAUAUUUAUGUGGCUCUUUAAUUUGUUUUCUCAUACUUUACUUGUUUUUUUUUUAUAUUUUCUUCCAAUAAAAAUAAUUCUAAGAAAUUCGCAAUACAGCUUUUGCCGUAACUUUUAAAUUGUAUUCAGUAGCUUCAAAAUUUUAACAAAAAAAAAGGAAAAAAAAACAUGAAUGAAAGGAUAAAAUCGUGGGUGAAGAUAGCUACUACACUACCAGAGAUUUUCUCAAAUAAAGUUAGAAUUAUCUCAAAUUAUAUUUAUCUAAACCGAAUGGACCCCUAUAUAGUCAUAAUAUAUGGAUGGUAAAAUAACAAAUUAAAUUAUUGGAUAAAAUUAUCAUUCAUUCAAUAAAAAUAUCACAUCAAAUGACACGUCAUUUAAGAGAAUUUUGUUUUUUUCAUAAAUCGUGGGAUUGUUACAGUCAAAUAGGUGGUUCAUAAAAAUAAUACACAUUUUUUUUUAAAAGAAAGAAUUAUAGACAAAAUUGACGUCUCUAAAUUAUGAUAAUUGAGAGUCAUGAUCAGGUUUAGGGACGCAGGUAAAUUGGUAAUUAUGUAAUGGAAUUGAGUUGGGGAGGUAAAUUUUCAGAACAAUCCAUAACACGUAAAUGUCAAUUUUCUUUGGGAAAUUGACAAAAAAUAACUUAAAAGUUUUGGGUACUUUCACAAAUAGCCACGCUAAUUUUUUUUCUCAUUAGGCUAAUUAAUUUUUUAUUUUUACCAAAUAUCCUUGCUUUUGAAACUAAUAAUUCACUCUCACUGUCGGUGGCUUGAUCAUCCCCUUUCGUCAGCGCUUUUCUGGUAAGAUCGAUGGAGAUUCAAUGGGCUUUUGAUAGCAGUAUCACUUUUGAUAGGACGCAGCUGCAUUUCCAACGAUUGGACGAUGAUUUUUUUUCAGUAAUUGGGUGACAACUGCAUCUCAAGAUUUUGACAUCAAAGUAAGGUAUUUUUUUCAUAACAUUGAAUCAUCAAUUAAAUGUAGUUCAGUGUAUACUUGGGUAUAUUUUAUGAUAGAUGAGCAUUUGGUGAAUAUUAUUUUGUGUUAAGUUUUUAUAUUACAAAUGGCACGUUAGGUGUUCGGUAAAAAUGUCUUUUAUACUUUAGUUGCCUCCUUUUUCAUAGAUUAAAAUGUUAUGGAUUGAUGGUGGCUUGGGGGGGAUUGUCGCACAGCAAGUGUUUUCGGUUGACAAGCUCUUGUCACACGAACACACUUACUGUAUUAUUGUGCGAGACUCGAGCAAUACGACAGCAAGCGACUUUUGCAAUAGGUGUUUGUCGCACAUUUUCUAGGUUCAUAUCCUAAUUUAUUUUUACUUAAAAUACCCGCAUAAAUUUAAAAUAAUCUAAAGAUAAAAAUAAAAAUUGUGUAAAAAUAAAUACUGACCUUAACUUCUUAUGUUCCAAUUGAUGUUUUGUGAGUAAAAGAUGGUUAGUUUUGGUGAGUAGAUGGUGGUGAGUUUUAGUGAGAUUUGGCUGAAAAUGUGAUUUGUUAGGCAUUUUGUUGAUAGGUCUGAGGGAAUUUAGGUUUGUAAAUUACAUUUGUGGGUAGACAUAAUAGAAAAUCUUAGGGCGUCUAAUUUUGAAAAAUUACCAAAACUUUUGGGGUAAUUUUGUAAACUUCCCAUUUUCUUUUCAACGGCAUUUUCUCGGACAACUUCCCGCGAACAUUUUACAAUUUCCCUCAACCGUGUCGACUCACCGAUUCCAGGCGCCAGAGUGAAAAGACAAUGUUCGUUCUCCGAGUACACUCAGUGGACGACAACCACCCUAUCACGAUUGAAGAAGCCGGCUUCUGCACCGUCUCCAGUACUGCCACCCGAUCAAGGGCUAACCCUAACCCUAAAUUCAGCGAGCGAAGAGGAUUGGUGCACUUGUUUCGAGGAACGUCGCAGAGUUAUCAACAGAACCCUAACUCGCGAUCCACGUGUAUCUUUGUGGUUGCUGUCCCCAACUACCUCUCCUCCGAUGAAUUCGUCCGUUUCUGUGGGUCUCACAUCGACCACGUGGAGGAGCUCAUUUUCAUCAGGUAACUAUUAUGUUCAUCGCUGAUUCAAUUCCAAAUAAGACGAGAAUGAAUUGAACCUAGGGUUUUGGCACUAAUUGCUAGAAAAUUGAAGGAAGUUAUAAUUGAAAUUGUAAUUUUUACUUUUGUAAUAGGAAAAUAUUUGAUUUACAACUAAGAUAGGCGCUUCAAUUAGGUAAAGGUCCUGUCAAGGUUUCUGGAUUUUAGAUAUUAUUGAAUUUAUUUUUUAUUACACUUUCUAUUCCCUGAACAGUGUCAAAGUUAAUGUCUUCUAAUACUGUUAGGAAUGAUGCUAUGGAAGAUCGAUACAGUGUUUUGAUCAAGCUUGUUGAUCAGUUGACUGCUGAUGAAUUUUAUAGCAACCUCAAUGGUAAAAGGUUUUCUCCUGCUGAGGUCAGUUUUCUUCACUUUUGCUGGUUUAUUCGCAUCUUCAACUGAUUUAAUCUGGUAUGUGAUUAAAUUGGGAACAUAAUUCUGGGUAUGGUUUUAAUAGGCUGAGGUAUGCCACAUGCUAUUUAUGCUUUCUGUGGAGUACACAGAAUUAGCUGAGAUUGCUAGCACACCGCCAGCAGGAUUUACCGAGCUUCCUACUUGUCCGAUUUGUCUUGGUGAGUCACACAUUUUCCUUCUUUUUGUAGAUCACUUGGAUUAAGUGGUUUUUCAUACGAAGUUCUGAUUUUUGUUUAGGGGAUUAGUGAGCCUAAUUCCCCCCCCCCCCCCCCCCCNNNNNNNNNNNNNNNNNNNNNNNNNNNNNNNNNNNNNNNNNNNNNNNNNNNNNNNNNNNNNNNNNNNNNNNNNNNNNNNNNNNNNNNNNNNNNNNNNNNNNNNNNNNNNNNNNNNNNNNNNNNNNNNNNNNNNNNNNNNNNNNNNNNNNNNNNNNNNNNNNNNNNNNNNNNNNNNNNNNNNNNNNNNNNNNNNNNNNNNNNNNNNNNNNNNNNNNNNNNNNNNNNNNNNNNNNNNNNNNNNNNNNNNNNNNNNNNNNNNNNNNNNNNNNNNNNNNNNNNNNNNNNNNNNNNNNNNNNNNNNNNNNNNNNNNNNNNNNNNNNNNNNNNNNNNNNNNNNNNNNNNNNNNNNNNNNNNNNNNNNNNNNNNNNNNNNNNNNNNNNNNNNNNNNNNNNNNNNNNNNNNNNNNNNNNNNNNNNNNNNNNNNNCCCUCUCUUGGGGGUGUUCAUAUUAUUUAUUUUGAUACUUCAGAAAGGUUGGACCCAGACACUAGUGGAAUUCUCAGUACAAUCUGUGACCAUUCAUUUCAAUGUUCGUGUACUGCAAAAUGGACUGUUUUAUCUUGUCAGGUGAACUAGUUCUCUCUCACCCAUCCCUCAUUUCUCUUUAUUCUGGAAUGCAUAUGUUCCAGUUCAAAGAUUUUGGUUUAUCGAAUGAUUUUAUGAUGACAAUUUUCCCAUUUAUUCUCAAUACAAUUUGAUAGUAGGAAAAAUAAUUCGAACAUUCUGACAUGUAGCAUACUAUCAAAUAUUGAAUCCAUCUAUUCUAUUCUUAUCUACUUUCUAUGCCCUCAGGUUUGUCGAUUUUGUCACCAGCAGGAUGAGAGACCAACUUGUUCUGUUUGUGGAACAGUGGAGAAUCUUUGGGUCUGUUUGAUAUGUGGUUUUGUGGGAUGUGGAAGGUAAUGCAUUUAUUGUAGCAUUCUUCUUAUGCUGAUAGUUUUCAGUUUGAAGACUUUAUUACUCAAAGUUUGUUGCCUAUUUGUGAAUUACGCUUUUUCCCAAGUUUGGACUUUUAUCAAUUAUUGUUGCUCUUGUUUAUGGACUCAGAUAUAAGGAAGGGCAUGCUGUUAGGCACUGGAAAGAUACGCAGCACUGGUACUCUCUUGAUUUAAGAACUCAACAAAUUUGGGAUUAUGUUGGUGACAAUUAUGUUCAUCGGCUAAACCAGUCAAAAGCUGAUGGAAAGUUAGUCGAAAUGAACUCUCCUUGCAUGUCACAUGAAGCGCAUUGUGGUACAUGUGAAUGUAGUGAGGAUUCUGGAAUUAGUGGGGCUCUUUUCAACAGCAAAGUUGAAGCCGUAUGUUCCGCUAUUGCAAAUUCUUUUGGAAAUUGUGAAUAUAGUAUCUUUAUAACUGAAAGAGACUUGAUAUGAUUAUUUAGUGUUGUUGAUAAUUAUUGCUCUUGCUAAGCUAUCCAUUGAUAUCUGGUUCCCAUUCUUGAUAAUAGAUUGUAGAUGAGUACAACCGCCUUCUUGCCACUCAACUAGAGACCCAAAGACAAGUAAGUACAUCAUUCCCGGAUGUAAAAACCCCUACUUGAUUAGACCUCUUCUCUCUAUUUUAUUUCUUACUUUGAUUUUUCCAUCCCUCUCUCAGCCCUCUUGCUUCUUUGUUGAUCUCCGAUAUCUACUUAUAUGCGGGAAUAUCAUGAAAUCUGUAUGCUGUUAUGUGUAUUUCUGUGUUCCUGCAUAUUCUGAAUUGUAGUCUGAUUGAAUACUUACGAAAGGAUUAUUCAAUUAUUUAGGUAUAUGGAAUCCACCAUUUGACAAAUUUGCAGGAAUUCCCAAAUGAAAAUUUUCUUGUUUGAUUGAAAUUUUUAAUCCCUGCAUUAGUUCAUAUCAUUCGGAUAGCUAUACACUUGCAUUAUUAUUCUUUUCUAAAUUCUUUUUUUUUUCCCCCCAGUACUAUGAAUCUCUACUUGCAGAGGCCAAAAGUAAAAGGGAGAGUUUGAUCCCAGAAACUGUGGAGAAAGCUGUGGCUUCCAAGAUGCAGGAUAUUCAAAAUGAGCUGGACAUUUGUGAAGAGGCUAAAAAGGCAGUUGCAGAUGUAAAUCCGUUAACCACCCAUUUCAGAUCUGUUAUCCUCUUUUUUUUUUGGGGGGUGGGGGGGUGUUAUUUAAUGCUUUUGAUUGAAACUUUUUAAUUGUUAUCGUAUUUCAUAGCAAGUACUGUCAUUUUUAUUUUUUGGCUUGUAGGUCAACAGCAAACUCAUUAAGAACCAAGAAAUUAUGCGGAAGAAGUUUAAGGAAAUUGAAGAGAGGUAAAUUGUCUUUUGCUUAUAAAUGCAACACAACCAAAAUUCUGUGCUUAAAGCAAUAUUUUGGGUGGGUUUGUCAGAUUGGAAUGAGCAAUUAUAUGCUCUUAUACCUUUGCAGAUAGGCCAUACAAUAACACUUGCUCAGAAAAAAUGAAAUAACAAGUACCCUCAACUUGUUGGGGGCAUUGAGUUUGUGUUAUGUGUCUACAGUAAGAUAAGGGAAUCAUAAAUAUUUGCUUUUUGCAGGGAAAUAACAUCACUAAGGUUGAGAGAUGCGACAAUACUUGAUCUGGAAGAACAGGUACAUCAUUACCAAAAGUUUCUUGUAUGUGGUUGAUUGAAUUUACUGGUUUUUUAACAAAUUAUCUGAUGAAUGCAGAUUAGAGAUUUGACAGUUUACAUUGAAGCCCAGAAAACACUUACUAACAUGACAGAUUCCGAUGGCAUCAAAGGAGGAACUGUCUUGCCAGUAUCCUAUCAGCAAUCGUCUCCAACCAACACCCGAAGGCACAAGAAAUCAAGUCGAAGAAAGAACUAGUUGGAUUGUUUCUCCCAUGAUAACUGAGACCUCUACAAUGGGGGGGAUAGUUCUCAUCAUUAGUAUAGUACAAGCUUGUAAACCAGAAAUAUAUAUGUUUUGUAGUGAUAUUCAAAGGUUUAUCUUCUUUCUUGUAAAUGCAGAUAGCUAGUUUUCUCUGCCAAUAUCAGGGGAAAAUAAGGGGGGGUGGUUGUUGGAAUACGAAAAGAAGUCACUUGGGAUCUCGGGCAUUCCUUUUUUUUUUUUUCAUUUUAUUUAAGAAGUCACUUGGGAUCUCGGGCAUUCCUGAUCUCGGGCAUUCCUUUUUUUUUUUUUCAUUUUAUUUUUCCUGAUGCCUAAAUUUGUGGUGAAUUGUUCCACCAUCACAAAAUAUCAAUCCAGAAUAAGUGUGUGUGUGUAGCGUGAGUUUUGAACUCUCCUACACUGUCCUAAAGGUCAGGGUCCUCAGGGAGCAUCGUCCUUAAAGAGACUUGAGAUUGGGAUUUUUUGUUCUUUUAAUUCAGAGUGGUGCGCUGGUGCCACUGGCACCUCUUUAAUAUCCUCAUGAAACCCUUUUCUGAAGUUACAAUUUAAAUUCAUAUGUAAAAUUACAUGAAAGGCAACACAUACGAGAGAACGAGGGCAAUUUGAAGUAAUUUACAUGUCACAAACAAUUUAAGUUUAGCAAAUAAAGAUUGUGAUGUCAAACUGUAGCAAAGAAUUUGGAUCAUGAGUUCGUAGUUGUUUUCAAACCGUGACGAAUAAUUGCACGACCCGUAUGAACGCAAAGUUUCAGUUAUAGAAGCCCGCCACCUACUUUUUAUUUGAUAGACAUCCAUCUCUUUCUUUUCAAAAUUACACCAACGUUAGCACCAUCUUUGGACACCGUAUUUUGAGUAAGGGAGGAAAAAAAAGAUUGUGAAGGCAUCUUUUUAGUUAUUAUUAUUAUUAUUAUUAUUAUUAUUAUUAUUUUGUUACAUGCACUUAAUCAAUAUUAAGCUAGUAUAGAAAGUUAAGUCUUUUGGCAAAUCGCCAGUUGUAAGUAUAAAUUAGAGUCAGUUUAUGAUAUAAACUUCAAUUGUAUAUAUCUCUCUCAAUCUCCAGAGAAAGAGACUUCCCAAAAAAGCAACACUUUGUAUUCAUAAAUAAACAAAAGCAAUAAAAUUUCUCUUUCAUACAAAUAUUUUAGACAUCAAUUGGAUAGCGAUUAAUAAGUAAAUUCAAUUUAUUUCAUCUUAUUUAUUUAUCUUUCAUGUUAAGAAGUCUCGCUUGACAAACGAAAGUAUAAUUUAUAUUGAAGUGAAAAGAGUUUGAAAAAAGGUUUUUGAGAAGAGUUUUUUUUUUUUUUUUCAACGAAAAUAAUAAGAACUUAGUGGAAGUUUCUAUUGAUUAUCUAAAAAUUUCUUUUAAAAUACGAUCUCCAGUGGUCCUAUUUUUGAAAGAUUAAUUUUUAUAAACUUUGAAAGAUUAAUUUUUGCCGAGACUUCUUUCUCUUUUCAACCAUACCAAUUUACUCUCCAUACCUGAAUUUAGUUGUCUUUUAAUUUUUUUUUUUAUUAUUUACCCUAAUGACAAUUCAAUCCCACCCGUAUGAACAUAAUUGAACUCUACACCCCUUGUUUUCAACACAAUAAAUUUUACCAUCUCACCUCGACUUUGGUUAUACCUUUAGUUAUUCUUAAAUUAUACAAGACUAAUCAACCUUAAUUAUGUUCACUCAAAUAUAUAGAACAUUACUCUCAACCCACACUACCUUACCUUGAUAUAGACAUUUGUUUCAAAUUAAAAAGUAGGAUACACAUUUAUCUUAGAAUUAAAUUUUAUAUUAGAAAAUAAUAGAAGUAUACUGACAACCUAAAUUUCUUUUAUAAGACUUUCUACUAUUUUGCCUAUAAGGUUGUUUAUAGGGUUGCUUAUAUCGUUUCUUAUACUCUCUGUGUUUUUGUUGUUAGAAUAGCUAGAUAAUUACAUCCAAAGACCGUACUUCAUGCACAUCUACACACAUUUUCUAAAUUGGUGUUUUAUUUGACUUUCAUAUUUUUUUCGUCACAGUAUUCUCUAAUUCGUCCUCUAAUAUAUUCUAUUACUAAUAAUAAAGUACUGUGUAUUCAAGUUGUCUUAUCUUUUCUUUUCUUUUUUUAAAUAUCAGGGUAAUAUUCCCCUUGGUAGGGUUAUUUACGGAAAAUGAUAGGUAAUAUUCACAUGAAAAAUAAAAAAUAAAAAAGGUAAAUCCUCUAACAUAGUUUCAUUAAAGUUCAUUAAUCUUUCCAAGUGCGCUGAGCCCCAAAUUUACCGUUAAAGGGGAAAAACGAAAAAGGGCUAAAGAAAAAGGAAUUCUUAUUAAAAAUCAACCAUUAAAAAGGUCAUUCUAUAUGAGUAGAAAAUUUGGAGAGACUUAAUAAAACUAAGAUUGUAAGUAAAUUGCCAAAUAAUGCAUUCAUCCACUAGAAAACUGACACUAUCCUUUCCAAACUUGUAAACACUAAAAUAGCCAGGACAGCCAUAAAAUUCUUCCUCGGAUCAUUUUUUCAUUAACUUCUAAAUUUACACCAUACUUUAAUCCUGAAGGGGUACCCAAUGAUGCCUUGGCCAGAAGACAGUCUUGAUCUCACUUUAAAUACAACUAACAGAAUGAGCUGGAUAUCCUAAAACUGUGAUGCCUAAAUUCCGCAGCUUUCCCUCGAAAAUCACAUUGUGGCGGGACCAGGAACGGGGACUGCUAGGAAGAAAUGCUUACAUUCUUGAGGACUUUGGCGAAAGACAAUGACAUCUACUUGUCACCUUUGGGAUUGUUCUGCACCAGCUACACCAGCAGUUGUGCUAGGCCCAGCACCAUUUUCAUUUGGGGGAGAGGUGCCCCAUCGCCCCUCAGCCUCUAAUGGCUCUAUUAUAUAAACUCCGCCAUCUGUCAAUCCUAAUGCAAACUGAUUUGGGUCGGUUGGAUUUCCGGCAAUGACAAGAGGAUACACUCUUAAGCUGUUAUAUAUUAAACUGUUAGUCCAAAAAAUUGGAUGGUAAACAUUGAAAAACAAGAUAUAAAUCUAUUAGCUGAACAAGAAAUUAAAACAUGCAUAAAAACAAACCUUGGAUUGGGAGGUAGAUAAGCAGUAGGAUUUAUGACAUUGAAAAACAAGAUAUAAAUCUAUUGGCUGAAUAAGAAAUUAAAACACGCAUAAAAACAAACCUUGGAUUGGUAGGUAGAUAAGCAGUAGGAUUUAUGCGACAUCUCAAUCUAAGUGUUGAAGCGGUGAGAACACCAACACUUCCCUCUUCAAAAGCCACAUAUAUUGACUGGCUAUCACAGGAAUAUGUAGCAUGCGUGAUUGGACCACUUGCUUCUCUAGGGACAAACUGUUCCAAAAAUAUAUUUGAUAUCACCAAGUGUCAUCAUUUCUAAUUAUAAACAAAUCCAAAUCAUGUAGAUGGCAGGAAAAGUGAAAAACUAGACUAAGAAAAAUGGCACCAUCAACUUGUGCAAACUAACUAGCCCACCUGCUUAAGGCAUUCCAAUUUAGGUGCUUCGUAUAUAGCUAUCUGAGUUUCAUGGACUGCCAACAGAUGUGUCUGAUCUAGAUGAAACUGAACACGGGUAUCAGCAAGAGCAGAUGCAGUUCGUCCAUUUGGAAUUGUCAAGAAUUUGCUAGCCUGCUUCUCCCACCCAUCUGUGCUCCAAACACAAAGCUGCAUCGGGAGAAAAAGGGAAAAUGAGAAAUAAUGAAUUUAUGAUACCACAAAGCAACUAUUAGGACAGAAUUGUAACAUCCAAUUUAGAGAAUUAUUCUCCAGUCAAGGCAACCUUCUAUUCCAUAACCUAGAAACCUCAACAUCAAUUAAUAGCUUAAGUAGGCUAACCAAAAGAAUAAACCGAGUCCUUUUGGCUUCCUAAUCAGAGAUUACUUUAGUUUUAGAAAUUCCUUUGUCAGACACGCAUAUUGGCAUGCACGCAAGCCCAGUUAAUUAUUUCUCACCUGAGAAUCAGCUCCAGAAGACACCAGCACAUUUAGCGUGUUAGAGAACGCAAGGCCCGUUAUUCUUUUCUGGUGACCCUUUAACUUUGUUUUAACCUGAGAAAAUGAAACAUCCAGCUUUUUCAAAAAUCCCAUUACUAUUUAUGUAUAAACAGUAGAUAAAGGUUCGAUUAAGUCAGAUUACAACCUCGUCGACCCGAACGUUAUAGAUUUGGAUAGAUGAAUCUUCCAUGCCUAUGGCAAUGAUGUUAUUGUCCUGAGGAUGAAAUGCCAGAAAUGUUGCUGCUGGUGGUGGGGGCAUGAAUGUUGUCAUUGUCUAAAGUCAUUAAAUCAAGAGUGUGAAUGAAUAUAAAACAAAAAUAUUUAAGAAAAUGUGCAAAAACAAUGUAAAAAACUUAUCAAAAUAAUCUUAUGAAAUAGUCACUUUUCCUAGAUCUCACAUCAAUAUGCCAAAAUAUACGACUUAACAUUGUUACUCAAUGAGAACUACUUUGCAUUAAUCUUAGAAAACUAGCCCAACUAGUCAAAAUUUUCUACAAGAUGCAUUGAAAAUAACUAAUGAAGUAGACAUGGUGAAACUAAAAGAAGAUAAAGACCUUAAAUGUCAUCAUAUUGAAUAGAGAGAUUUUCCCUCCUGAAGCAGACAUAACAUAAGAGUCAUUCUUCGAGAGCGCAAAACAUGGAACAGCAUCUUCAGGGUUUGUAUCACUAAUAUCAUUAGUCAUCAAUAUUCCACUUGGAGGUUGCCAUAAUUGCGGUGCUUGAUUAGUUGUGGCCUAUAGGAGACAAAAGCUUCGUUAAUGAUAUGCUUAAGGAUGCUAAUACAUCAAAUUUAAAAUUGAAGAAAGGCAUGAAUUCCUAAAAACUAAAAUGCAAUACCUUUCCAGUCGAGUUUCGCUCAUUUCUUGGCCAUUUCCAGAGCUUGUGUACAGCAUUGGAUGCUAAGGCCAAUAUGGCUAGUCCUGAAUUUGUGUAAAUUAAUCUAGAAACCUGAAGUAAUUAUUACCAUUCAAAACCAUAAGUAGAAAGUAAUAAAACACAAGUAAAAAUAAUAAUAACUUUUGCUUGAAAUGUUUUAGCAAAAUGCAAACCUUCAAAGUUAUUGAAUUUACCAGUGAAUCAAGUGAGUAAUUCCCAUAUUUAAUAUGAUUUAGCAUAUUGUCCCAACUAACGACAACUCUCUUUCAACGUGCAAUUUCUCUCAUUAUUAAACUUUCAAACUAUCCAGAAGUUCUGCUCAUAUAAACAGAACAUAUGAUUGUAAAGAACAUUUUUUCAUGAAAAUACAUAGAAUUUCACAAGCAUGCCUGCACAUGUCUGAGUUUAUAUCAGCGUGAAAGAUGAUGAUACAAAGACCUCAAUAAUCAUGAAAAAGAUUGUCAUAAUUUUACCUUUUUCAAAAGAAAGUAUAACAGUGUAUAGUUCUGAAAAUCCCACAUCCUAAAUAAAUUUACUUUUUUUGGAGCAAAUUUGAUGUAAAAGCUCGCAAUUUAACACCAUCAUAACCUCAACUAAAAAAAAUUAAUUACAGGACGUAAAUUGGUAUCAGGAUACACACAUGUACCGUAAAAAUGAACAAAAACUUGCAAUUUUGAAAUUCAUGCACAUGCAUAAAUUUGAUGGAACUAAAACAAGCAAAAGAUAAAAAUUAUGGAAGAAGGGAAAUCUGUGAACAAAAAAUUUUGUAUCAGAAAUACUCAGGAGCCAAUCACUAUUUACACAGUCCAAGAGAUUGUAAAGUGCCACAAGAAAUAAUAAUAACAUUUAAGGAACCUAGAAAGAUUACAAAGUAAAGCAUACCCUCAUUGCUGUUAAAUUAUCUGGAAGUCUAAGGGAUCGACAUUGUGAUGGUUCAGUGAUUUCGGUCAGUUUCCAGAUCCUUGACUUUUCAACUGCUUCAUCGGCAAUUUUUGGUUUCACAUCAGUGAAAUUUCUACUAUCAUUGCUCUACAGAAACUCAAAAUUGAAAAGGUUAGAUCACUGAACGUAUUCUUUUUUAUGCAUAUCUACAAUUGAAUAGAAUAUAAAUUUGCACUACUAUCAGAUGGGGUGGGGAACGUAAAAGUUCUUAAUAUUAAAACAGAGAGAUGUUCCCUUCCAAAAAAAAAAAACCAGAGAGAUGAAGCCUGCCUAGAGAAUCUGGAAAAACCCAUAGCCAAGAUAUGCACUCACCAUUCCAACCAUUGCAGCAGCUGGAGCAGUUCGCUCCCCAAGGCUUGUUCCAACAUUUGCAUUUGCAGAACCAAAUGUGCCUAUUGCAGGGGCCUGCGUUCAACAUUGCAUUUAGAAAACAUAUUUGCACAAAACUGUCUGUUCAAAAUAGUUUAGCCAACCUUCACUAUAGCAGCAGAAGCAACUCUAGAAGCAUCAAAUGUACGACUUUCCACUGUUCGUAGCAGCCUAAUCCCAUCUGCAUUUGCUAGAAUUUUAAUACCAUUAUCAUUUGUUGAGACAGCUAACAGAAUUCCUUCUUUGUUAAAUCUUAUACAAGGUGAAGCCUGCAAGCAAAUUUUUCAAGGUAAGGAAAGUUAGUCUGAAGAAAAUAUUGCAUCAACUAGAUUAGGAUGGGGUUGGCGAAAUCCAAUUAUUACCUGUAAUCCACCAUCCGCAUCAAUACUUGCCAACAGAUUAACAUUGUCCAUGUCCCAGAAUUUUAUCAUAAACUCAUCACCAGCAGCCAAAAACCUAUUUUUAGUCGUAUCAAAUUGCACAACCCCCACAGAACGCUUCCCAAGACCAUGAUAUGUGCGCUUGACUGCUCCUUCACUUUCAUUCCAUUCAACCAAGUAUGAUUCUCCUUCUUUAUUUGUACCACAUGAGAACAACCUAUGAAUAGCAUUGGAAAUUUGAGUUGCAAAUUUGUAGGAGAGCAGAAAGCAACCUCCCAUCACCCAAAAGAAAGUCAGAACUGUAAAAUGCACAAAACAUAUACAAACCUAGCUCCAUCAGCACUGUAUGCCAUCAUUGUAGAUGAAUGACCCGGUGCAUCAUAGUCUACUCUUGAGCCCAGGUUAUCAUACAACCAUGCCUUUAUUUUCCCAUCAGUUGCUGUUGAGAAGAUAAACUGAGCAAUAGAAGCGAGGAAGAAAAUGGAAAAUUUAAGCAAUAUUACAAUUGCAAUAGCAUAAAAUCUUAAAUUGCAAAAAUCAAGGAAAACCAUAAAAUAUUUAUGAUAACAGCAUAGGAAAAACAGAAAAGAAUGCAGUUAAUAUGAGGGUAAGGACAAAAAAGAAUUAUGUCCCAAAACAAUUGCUCCUUAAUAUGCAAUCCAAAGAAAAAAAGGAUUUAAUGUCUAUAAAAUAAAAAUCUUACUAGUAUAUUGUAACGUGUUACAAUUUCUUUGUUUCUAAAGCCUACAAUGUCUCAGUAAGAAGGGGUCAUUUAGACAAGACUUCAACAGCAGAGCAAAAGACUGGCAGCAGGACUUCUAAAUUUACCUAUAUUUAUUGACCCAAAUCAAAUGUAAUUCAAGAAGUCAAAUUGGCCAUCAGUAUUAUCGUUAUGCAAACUACCACAUAAUCUGCUUCAUCAACAAUCAGAUUUCAACUGUAACUUAAACCCAAAAUCAGAAUAUGAUAUGAAAGAUUUAGAAGAAACAAGAACACAGCCAACCGUGAACAUUGCUAAUCACAAUUACAAAAUCCUACUCUUCUUCUGCUAAGAAAAAGAGCUGAUCUAACAGAAGAAUAACCAGUGUCAAUCGCAUCAUGUAGUCCUAUAGUCCAUUACCUGAAUAUUCUCCUUGUGAUGAGGACAUAUUGAAUAUACAGGUGAUUCAUGGCCCUCAAAAAUGUACUGCUUAGUCCCUGUAACUGCAUCCCACACCUGCAAUCAUUUGAAAAUAUAUAAAUUCUUUCAUUUGAGCAGACUCAUAAAAAAUUAAUGAGCUAAUGAAGCAAAGCAAACCUUAAUGACUCUGUCCUCGCCACAAGUGACAACACUCAAUUGUUUGUUUGGAUAUGAGAAGGCAAGAUCAUUAACACUGCCAACAUGAGCCUCAAUCUAACAUCAAAAAGGAUAUUCAUCACAAACGUUUAGCAUAUUAUGAAUCGUUCAAUAUGUUAAAAAAAGUAUAACAUUCAUUAAAUUCAUAAAGAGGCUACUUAGGAAAAUGGGCUUCAACCCAAAAAAAAAAAAGAGAGAGAACUGUGACACAAACCUCUAGGUGGUUUCUUAAUUCAUCCCCACCAUGGUAGGUGUAUAAAUGCACAAUAUGCUUUGAGUAUGCAACACCUGCAAUAAGGACAAAAUAAAUCCAUUCAAGAAUCAUUCUUCUUUAUUAUUGAUUGAAAAAGUUUUCAUGUAAACAAUCAGAUAAUCACAUGUUUACUUGAAACAUACCAAAAAGAGUUCCAUCAGGACUCCACAUCACACGGUUAACUGAUGCUGUAUAAUCACUUGACAGAGAUGCCUGUAAGAGGAACAGACGAUUAUGGUCAACCCUAUAAGAUACAAUUUCAACAAGUUAGAUAGAUCCUGUCCGGAAAUGAAGGCCCCACCUGAAGAGGCAUUGAACAUGCUCCAAGCUCCCAGACCUUAAAACUUUUUACAGCAAUCCUCUCACGGCUACCAACCUCCCACAACAUAACAUCACCCAUGUUUGUCCCAACUGAAAUGAUUGAACCAUGAGAAAGGGGAGAGUAUGGUCAACCCCACCAUCCAAAAGCUGAUUGAUGUAAACAAGAGAACUAAAGCAGAAACUGAGAAAAAAGUGUCCACCAUGCCAGUGGAGUCUUACCAACGAGUAAUAUUUGUUGUACUGGAUGAAAAUCCAUGCUCUUGACAGCUGAACCCUGAUUCAGAGUCAUAACAACAGUCUUGGGCAAGUCAUCAGUAGAGUAAGAACUCUGACCGAGACUUUGGGGAGUGUAUGCAACAGGCAGGAUAUUUACCGACAGAUUAUUGACCUGGAAAAAGUAUCACGUAAACGGACAGAUUAUAGACAAUG
rnacentral:lncRNA from 1 species